rnacentral:rRNA from 1 species
AGAACGAACGCUGGCGGCAGGCUUAACACAUGCAAGUCGAGCGCCUCGCAAGAGGAGCGGCAGACGGGUGAGUAACGCGUGGGAACCUACCCAACUCUACGGAAUAACACAGGGAAACUUGUGCUAAUACCGUAUACGCCCUACGGGGGAAAGAUUUAUCGGAGUUGGAUGGGCCCGCGUAAGAUUAGCUAGUUGGUGGGGUAAUGGCCUACCAAGGCGACGAUCUUUAGCUGGUCUGAGAGGAUGAUCAGCCACACUGGGACUGAGACACGGCCCAGACUCCUACGGGAGGCAGCAGUGGGGAAUAUUGGACAAUGGGCGAAAGCCUGAUCCAGCCAUGCCGCGUGGGUGAAGAAGGCCUUCGGGUUGUAAGCCUUUGUACGGGAAGAAAGCUCUGGGUGAAUACCCUGGAGUCAUGACGGUACCGUAAGAAUAAGCACCGGCUAACUUCGUGCCAGCAGCCGC